ACCUCUGCCUUCUGGUACUCAAGCAAUCCUCCCACCUCAGCCUCUGGAGUAGUUGGGACUACAGGUGCCAGCCUGGUGAAAAUCAUAGCACCUGCGGAUUUGGAGCUGACCCUCUCCUUUGGAAAUUGUGCCUUCCAAAAAUAUAUCUUACGCUGCCUGUGCCUGCAUGCAAUAGGUUUUGAGUCUUACCAACUGCAGCUUCAGGCUGAACUUGAGUUCUGCCCUCAUGGAUGCAAAUCAAAACAGAGCUCUGAAUCAAGUCUGGGAAGCAAGUCGAAGUGGUUUGAUUUGCAUGGGGAGCUUUGUGUCUGCGUGAAGGCAGCCAAAUUCCCUAGGCUCCCCAGCCCUCCGGAAAUAAGCUUUACAGGACCCGGGGCCCAGGCCCAGUCGGGUGGGUGUGAUUUGAAUGUUCUCUGCUACAGCUGCUGCUCUGGGCCCUGGUCACUGCUGUUGGUUUCGCUCCAUUUUACUGCCUCAGAAUCCCCCUGUGCAUGUUAGUGGUUAAUACAGCAGCCAGGAGACGCCAGACAGCUCUCGGCACCUGGUUCAAAUUUAAGGCUCAUUUACACAUGAUGUCACACACGCAUUGUCAGCGCGAGGGAGGUCAGGAUGGUUCAUUUUGGGAAGGUUCACAUUGUUGAGUCUUUACAACACUCACUGCUAUUAAUGCCUUAACCAUCUGACUUGGAUUUCGGUUUUCUGGCAUGAGGUAAUCCCAGGCACUAGAUUUAUAUGCUGAAUGGGAAGCCAGCAAUGGUGGCUAAUCAUGCUGGUUUGCACAUCUGCACCUCUGGAGCCUUGGGAUGGAAUUAGAGGGCCACAUGGCAAGUAGCAAAUCAUGGGGGUUUUGAGCAGGCGGGGAAUUAGCCAGACCUGGAAGCAGGGGCCAUAGACGGGGUGUUGUCUGAGCCAGGAAGUUUGAUUGAAGAGUAGAAACCAAGGUAAACUGGACAAGGAUCUGGGCCCAGAGACCACAGGAAUUACUCUAGUUUGACCAGUGCUUUGGUCAUUGCUUGACCCACCCUUUUGCUUAUCACCCAUAGAAAUCCCAGACCCAUCUUUCCAGGUCCAGUGUAAGUCUCUCAUGUUCCAUGAAGUCUUUCCUGACCACCCAUCCCACGGUAAUUUCUCUCCUGAAUCCCUAAGUACUUUUGUUACUGAGUACUUAAUUUGUGCAACUAGCUCAUUUUACCCUCGCAACGAUUCCAUGCGGAAGGCAUUAUUAUUUCCAUUUUACAGAUAAUGAGACAGGUUCAGAGAGGUUAAAUAAUGCAUCCACCAUCAAACUUUUAAGAGUCAGGAUGGAAUCCUGGCUCCAAGCUUAGGUUCUGAACCACUGGGGUAGGCUGUGUAGAACUACAUUUUCUGUGGUACGUGGUAUCAGUAACAUGGGAGAGACAGGCUGUGCCUCAGGAAGAUGCCACAUGGGAGUGCACAGCAGUGCUAUAGUGCCUUGUGUUUAUCUGUAGUCCCAGGUGCCUGGCUAUAAAUAACUGCAGGGCAGUGACCAUCACCUCUGCUUUUCUGCAUCCCCACAUUUCCUAACACAGUGUUCCUCAAAGUGUGCGUCAAUGGAUGGAUGAAUAUUAGCACCCCCACACCACCCUCACCUGAAACAUACUGAAAAGUUUGAGAUCUUUGAAUAACCACCCCUAUCCCCUGCUGUUGUCUUCUGUCAUGUGGCUGAAACUGUAAAACUGGUUUGCCUGUCACAGCUCCAGUGAGCCUCCUUACUCACCGGAAAUUCAGAGAAUGUCUUUAAUCCUGCUUUAAUCCUGCUGACUACUUUGAUUUUGCUUUUUAACUUGUACCAAGACCUGUUGCUGUGAUGGGUCUCUGCAAAUGGGCUUUCUUGUUCCAUGAGUCUCUGUUUUAGUCAAGUGAAGGGCACACUCCUUUUCACUGGCUACCUCUUACUUAUCCUCCAAGAGGAAUACUCACUCCCAGAACCCUUUCCUCGGGUCUCAUGCCGAGGUUAAGUGCCCCUUCAGUGUGCUUCUGCAGCUGAACCCAUAGUAGCAUUGUAGUUUAAUUCCUGUUUGCUUGACUGAGGCAGAGACUCACCUGCAGACACCUGUAGGUGCCUUCCAUGUUGCUCAGAUGAACAGCAGAGAAGGGUCAGGCCUGCCCUGGGUUUCUACCCCUCUCCUCAAAGCCCUUUCUAGUCACUACCCACAGCCUGCUUAUGACUACAGGGAUCCUGCCUCUGGGCCUCUAUCCAUGCAGCUGCCUCUGCCUGCACUCCAGGACAGGGGCCUUCUCUGUUGUCCACUGGAGCCCUGUGGAAGGGACUCUUGACCCUAUCCCUAGGGAAGUCAUCUCUGAAGGUUGUUUUAUUACAUUGUCUCCUCAGAAUGACCCUAUAGACACAGUGUUUUCUCAGUGUCCUCUUACCUUUGAACACAUCCAGGAAUAAUUGAAAAACCAGGCAAUCAAAUGCCCGUCUCAUAAAUCAUGUCACUUCAGAGCAGAACUUAGAGUCUGGUUUGCAAGCCACACCAAAUAGUUUGAGCUUGCCCUUCUACCAUUUCCUCCUGCUCUGAGCCCGGAGGUUCACCUAGUGGACUGUAGCAAUGGAUUCCCUUGCCCCUGGCUUCCUGUUGGGUUCAGCCAGAGAGCAGGACCAGUGGGAGCCUAGGAGGAGGAAAGUGAGGUCAGGGUGUCUGCUGCCCACUCCCUGCCUGCCAGGCCACUGUGGGUAGACUGUACCUCAGAUGGCCCUGCCCAUGUGUAGCCAUGCUCGCCAGGUUCUGGGUUCUGGAAACCUCCCCCUCCUCUUGCCCCUUCAGUCAUAGGGUGGUAGCCUCCUUCAUUGCUGUUAGCUUUAUGCACUCAAUUGUGUUCCAACUCCAAAUUCGUACAUUGAGGCCCUAAUCCCCAGGACCUCAGAAUGCAACAGUAUUUGGAGAUAGCGUCUUUAAAGAAGUAAUUAAGUUAAAAGGAGGCCAUUAAGCUGGUCCCUAAUUCAAUGUGACUGGUGUUCUUGUAAGAAAAGGAAGAGGUACCAUGGAGAUGUGCACCCAGAGGAAAGGCCAUGUAAGGACACAGCAAGAAGAGGCCUUAGAAGAACCAAACCUGUCCACACCUUGACCUUGCACUUCCCAACCUCCAGAACUGUGAGCAAAUAAAUGCCCAUUGUUUGAA